AUGUGUUGUAAUGGCGGCCGUUUCAUUGUCACCGGCGUCGGCACGGCUGAAUCCGCGACGCAUCGCCGCCAUCCCGUCUUGGCCGGCGCCGGGGGUUUGCUUUAGGGGCACGGGCGACCCAGCGGGGACUUCAGUCUGGCCUAUUUUCUGGAAAGUCGAGAGGCUUGUGAAGAGCGCUUGGAGGACUGGCUUUGGGCCUGCAGUCUCACAGAAAGUUCUCCGCUCCCAGACAUGGGUCCCUCGGCUUCCUGCCUCGGAAGCGCAGCAGCAGGCAUCGUGGGAAGGUGAAGAGCUUCCCUAAGGAUGACCCGUCCAAGCCGGUCCACCUCACAGCCUUCCUGGGAUACAAGGCUGGCAUGACUCACAUCGUGCGGGAAGUCGACAGGCCGGGAUCCAAGGUGAACAAGAAGGAGGUGGUGGAGGCUGUGACCAUUGUAGAGACACCACCCAUGGUGGUUGUGGGCAUUGUGGGCUACGUGGAAACCCCUCGAGGCCUCCGGACCUUCAAGACUGUCUUUGCUGAGCACAUCAGUGAUGAAUGCAAGAGGCGUUUCUAUAAGAAUUGGUAAGGGAGGAGGCCAUGCAGUCCCUAGCUUGGGAGCUUGGGAGCUGGAGAGCAGGGAGCAGCGU
rnacentral:lncRNA from 1 species